GUGUGGUCAGGCAGCAAGAGACUCAGAUUUCACUUCUCAGCCACUCUGUUCCUGGUAGCAGGGAUGCUGGGCUGAUGGGAUGGUCAUGGCAGGAUGAGAAGACCCUCCUUAAAGUCUAGGAGAGCACCCGUGUGAACUGGCCUGAUGUAGAGAGACUCACUUAUUUGUCACUUUGCAGUAGCUGCUGUGAGACAGAGGCUGUAGGUAGAGAUGUCCCUCAGCUCUAAGAAAGCCAAGGGAAAGACAGAACACAUCUUCACAGCUGCAGACUUCAACCAAGAAGGUGCACGGGCCACUUUCAGAAGGAGACGUGUCACCAGUACCCAGGUGACCCAUGGGCUGUGUGGGGAUCCUUUCCCUCUGGAUAGAGCAUCAAAGCUGGGUGCUGACUCAUGUCUAGAUGAUACAGCAAGGUCAUGGACCUUGAAGAAUGGAAACUUCUUCCUGAAGAUGGUGAACUGGCAAGAUAGGAACCUUGAUUCCUGAUGACACUGUGAAGAUUCCAUAUCAGUUCUACCUCCUCUGAACUUCUUUUAGGUGAGAGAGAAAUAUAUUUCUAUUUUGUUUAAGUGAUAUUUAUUUUAAAUGUUCUCAGAUGUUCAGACAAAUUUAAUUCUGAUACAGAUACUUAGGCUGAUUCUAAUUUUUUGCUGCUGUAAACUAUGCUGCAGUUAGCAUACUUGUCCAAACAUCUUUGCUCAUUUGUCUGACAAUAUUUUGGAUCUACUCCUAGAAGUUGAAUUAUCAAUUAAAAUAUUUAUGGACAGUUUUUAUUGUUUUGUGAAAUAUCUUGCCUAACUUGGGGAGGCAUUCUUUAUGGGGAUGCUCUUGGGCAGUGAACAAAUUGGGUAGAAAUAUGUAGGACACUGAUAUUGGGAAAAGGUUGACAUACAGGGUAAUGUAGAUGAGAGCCAGAUGUCCCCAGGUCAAGCUAAAAUGCUUCUAUUUCCUUUAUUAAAAUGACUGAAUCAAAAUCAAAAUUAUAAAAAAAUAACCCAAUAAAAUAUUUGUGUUUCAACA
rnacentral:lncRNA from 1 species